rnacentral:misc_RNA from 1 species
GCAUUUCCUUAAUCCGGUUUUCAAAUUUACAAAAGAUUAUACUCUCUGCUUAUAUUCUCCAGUUAACGCAUACAAACUUGUUGCAGAGGAUAAGAUUUUAAUAUUCACUAAAAUUGAGCUUGAUUUGUGCAUCCAAUCCAUCUAUGGACAAUGGCUUCAUUUUGUACGGAAAAUUGCCUUUCUAUAAGGUCAAUAUUAGAACUCUAGGAUGAAGGAGGGAGACGCCACGUUGUCCAAAUAGGGAAUUGCAUUUCAACAAAAUGACAAGCAUCCUUUUGCAGUUCCAUUAUGUAAUGAAUUCCAUGGGUGAGAAGGAAUAUCAAACCAUGUCAUUUCCAUAAAACAGAUAAACCUUUGCUAAUCAACCCAGCCAUGACCUUGCACCCAGAAAAAUCCUCUGCCAUAAACCUAAAAAAGCAAGAAAUAAACACCAUAUUGCUUAAUGCUCCAUACUCUUCAGCUCUAUUCCAUUACUGGCAGUUGAUUAAGGGCAAGAAUCCAAUUUGUAAGUAGCAUUUCUGCAGGGUUGCAGAAACUCCAGAAAUAGCUCGUAGGUAAAACAACUCAUCAUAAUUUGCCAAGUGGGGACUCUUGAGAGUGAUCAUCCACCAACCACAGGCCAAAAUCAUGAAACCGCUUUAUCUUCUUCUCAAAGCCUGUGAUGUAAUUGUUGUGAAUGAUUACAUGCUUUCCAUUUGUUUCCUGCACCCAUGUCUGGUUCUUGAAGUACAAACCUCCCGUUGCGAAUGCUGCCUGUGGCAGCAGGUACAGGUCCACCUACAUGAAAUAUUACGAGUACAUAUCACCAGUACAUGACCAGGAUUCACAAUCAAUUAUUUGCUAUGCUCAGAACAAAUUUAAGUAAAAAGCAAGAAAUGCUACUCCUUUUCCUUUCAAUGUGAUACAAGCCUCGCCCUAAAGGAUUAAUAAAGCCACAUCCUAAGGCGACUAGCUGCUUCAAAUACACUAAACUAGGAUUAGAAGGCUAUUCUAGAAUAGAAAUUUGUACAACUAAUUCACAGUAUUCCAGUUUCUAGAUCAAGUAAAAAAGACAGCAAACAGAACAGAACAAACCUGUCCAGCAGUUUUGUUUAAUGCCCAGUUGAAAGCAGGUUGAUCAUUUGAUUUCUUUGCUCUAGACCAUGGCUGAGCUUGAAGUUCCUCAAUCCACUUCUUCAUAACUAGUUUUGCUCCAUCGGUAGGGCGCAGGAAAAUCAUGCAACUGCAUAUAUAAGUGCGCCCCUUUUUACCUGGAGGUGGUAAAUCAUGGGAGUGGUUCAGAGGCUUCACCUGGACAUCCAAAGAAUAAAGGCAUUGCAAAUCUAUGACAAAUAUAGCAUACUCUACUUUGAACAAACAAGCAUGCAUAUCCCAGGAAAUCUUAAGUUCUCACCAAUUUGAUCAAUGGCAAAGGUUUUAGAAAGGCAAGAUAACUUAAUUCUAAAAAGGCAUAAUUAUAAUCAAUAUCAUUAAAAUUUUGUCAAUUUAAACAUAAUCCAACAACAUUGCAGUGCAGCCCCUUCCUUAGGCACAAAAUAAUAUCUCAUUAUGAAGGUUUAUUUUCAAUACAAAAUACCAACAAGAUGCAACUCAUUCAAGAUAUCUAGCGCAUUCAUAGGAUCUUAGAAGCUGGAGCUUGAGAGAAUAAGAGUACGAGGUAGAACUCCAAGUAAUGCAAAAAUUGGUUUAAUUUCACAACAUAAUUUUCUAAGCAUCGUAAGUCCAGCCCCUGUAACAAUGUAUCACGCUGAUUUUAAUUGGUUAUGCAAAGUGAUAGAAAUUUGAAAUGUGAAUUGUAGAACAUUCAAAUUGCCAAUUAGUACACAAGGUAACUAUGCUGUUUUAGUCAUCAGUUGAGGAGGCACAUAUCUAGUAUCAAUUGCUCCAUGUUCCAAAAAUAGGAUAAAUUAAAAUGCACCAAAACUGGUUAAGAGUUAGCAUACGUACAGCAGCCAUGUCGUCGGUGAAGUACACAUCGUGCUUUCCCAGCAAAUAAGGGAAGGGAUCUCCUAACCAGACCAUAUCAACAUCAUUGUACAUUACAUUAUACCCAAGCUCCAAAAUGUGCAGCAGGUGACGAGGUCUUCGGGAUGUGAAAUUGAAGAAUCCCUAUGCAAGGAAUCCAAAGAAGAUCAUUUCAAGAGUCAGAAUACCAAUGAAGUCAAUCACAACAGAGUGCCUAAUAAAUCAAUACUCAAACAAUGGCAGGAAAAGAAUAGCAAUUGGUAAUCUCUCGUUCAGCAGAAAACAUAGCAAAAAUGGAAAAAGGUCUGAAAACCACAAUUACCAUGAUUACUGAGAAAUUGGAAUUCCAAAUUUCAUUUUAUCCAAUUCUAACUAAAAUAGGACCAAGCACAAUGCGGCUAUUUGUCACUGAAUGGUGAGUGAUGUAGCCAGCUCUAGGUAAGCAUAGGUAAUUAAAUUGGCUGCAAAUAGAAACUCAAUAACAGACAUAAGCUAUCCAUCAUCAAAAGUAUAAAUGCUAUGAUGAUUGAUAAGCCAUUUAGAGCUUAAAGAUUCACUUAAAUGUCAAACUAAAUGAAACCCACAAAUUAAAAUUGAGAAUUAUACCUGAGAUCCAAACUUGUGGGCAGUUUGAGAAUCAGGAGCUGGGGGAACAAGGACGGCAUGGCCAGGCCACCUCUCAUUGAUCUCAUAAAGCGUGGCAUAAUCUUCAGCAAUGACAAGGACCUUGUCUUGGUGCUUUUGCCUUGCAAUACUAAUCAACCAGUUGUUAAGAAACCGCAAGUAAGGCUGGCUCACUGCACAAACAAUCACCGUCCCAUUCUUGGCCACAAACGACACCGCUUGGGCCAGAGUGUACUCACGCCAUUUAGUAAGAGAGGGUUUAGUCACCGAGAAGAUUCCCUGAGGCAACCCCGUCCAUGGCAUGAAUACCCCAAGAAUUAGCAUGAGAGAGAACAAAACUAUGAGGCCUGUGCCGCUAAAUAUUGAAAUUUGUCUUUGGGAAUUGAAGGAAUAGCGUGGUGAUAAUGGGUAUGGAUCGGAGAGUGCACUAUGGAGAGGCCUCUGGUGCAAAAAUGAUGACAUUGUUUAGCUUUAAUUGUACCUAUUUACAGGCGAGAAGAGGAUUUGAAGUCGAAUUAAGGUUUCAAUACGGUUUGAAUCGAUACUUAAAAAGCUUUCAGGUGUUUCUGUGGAUUACACUAUCUUCAGAUCAGAUCUGUGAUUUUGUUCAUGGGUUGCCUAGUGAGAAACAGUGCGGAUAAAUGACUUUGCUCCUCCAGAAUUUGCA